rnacentral:lncRNA from 10 species
UGGAUUCAGGGGUACAUGUGCAAGUUUGUUACAUGGAUAUACUGCAUAAUGGUGAGGUUAGGGUUUCUAGUUACCUAACCUUAUCGCCUUAUCACCCAAAUAGUGAACAUUGUAUCCAAUAUGUAAUUUUUCAACCCUCACCCCAGCCUACACUUAUUGUCUCUACUUUCUAAACUUCCUCUCAUCCACUCAUUAAACCCACUGCAAAUUUUCCCUUCUUCUGAAACUGUAAGGUCACCAAAUAUUUUGAGUAACUAUGACAUAUUGUUAACCUUUAUUAAUUCUGCAUGUAUGUGAUAACAUCCUUUGUACAGUUUCCCAAAAAAUAACUAUUUUUUCUUUAUUAAUAGAGUAUACAUAUUUAAAUGUGUAACUUCAGUUCUAAAAACAACACUCUAUAUACUUUAAAAGGAUGAACUUUAUGGUUAAAGUUGAACUUUUUGGAUAAAGUUAUUAUUUUUAUUUUUAAAAUUUUUUGGAGACCCAGAUCUUGCUACAUUGCCCAGCCUAGUCUUAAACUCCUGGCCUCAAGCAAUGCUCUCACCUCGGCCUCCCAGAAGUGCUGAGAUUAGAAGUAUGAGCCACCAUGCACAGUCCUCAUAUCGUUAUAUUUUUUAAAAGCACAACUUGACCCAAGAUCUGGAUAUAGCACAUUCCAAAAGAAUUUUCUGCAAUGAUUAAAAAAAAAUUGUUUUUGAGACAGGGUCAUAGCUCUGUCACCUAGGCUGAAGUGCAAGUGGCAUGAUCAAGCCUCACUGCAGCCCUGACCUCCCCAGCUCAAGCAAUCCACCCAGUUCAGUCUCUUAAAGUAGCUGGGGUUACAGAUGCACACCACCAGGCCCAGCUAAUUUUUUAAUUUUUUGUAGACAGGGUCUUGCUAUGUUGCCCAGGCUGGUCUUGAACUCCUGGGCCCAAGCAAUCCUCCUGCCUCAGCCUUCCAAAGUAUUGAGAUUACAGGUAUAAGCCACCAUGCCCAGCCUGAAAAUGUUCUUUAUCUGUGCAAUCCAAUAUCGUAGCCACAUGUUGUCACUGAGCACUUGAAAUGUGGCUAGUACAAGACAAUGAAGUUCUAAAAAUUUCAUUUUAAUUUAUUUAAAUUUAAAUAGCCACAUAAAGGCUGGACGCAGUGGCUCACACCUGUACUCCCAGCACUUUGGAAGACUGAGAUGGGUGGAUCACCUGAGGAGUUCCAGACCAGCCUGGCCAACAUGGCAAAACCCUGUCUCUACUAAAAAUACAAAAUUAGCUGGGUGUGGUGGCACGUGCCUGUAAUCCCAGCUACUCAGGAGGCUGAGGCAGAAUUGCUUGAACCUGGCAGGCAGAGGUUACAGUGAGCCAAGAUCACGCCACUGCACUCCAGCCUGGGUGGCAAGAGCGAAAUAGCCACGUGAGGCUGGUGGAUAUUGUAUUAGAUAGUGAACAGUGCAGAAAUCUAGGGCAUUACCAGUGACUUACAUGUAUUUAUGUGCUUCUCUCUUAUUCAACCUCCCCCUUACUGAGGCAACCUUAAAUUUAAUUGUUACUGACUUUUUUUUUAAUUUCUUUUUGUCAGGGCUGUUUCUCAGUGGGAAUGUUAAUGAUUUUUCUUUCUUUUUUUUUUUUUUUUUUUUGAGACGGAGUUUCGCUCGUUGCCCAGGCUGGAGUGCAAUGCUGUGAUCUCGGCUCACCACAACCUCCACCUCCCCGGUUCAAGCGAUUCUUCUGCCUCAGCCUGCCGAGUAGUUGGGAAUAUAGGCAUGUGCCACCAGGCCCAGCUAAUUUUUGUAUUUUUAGUAGAGACGGGGUUUCUCCAUGUUGGUCAGGCUGGUCUCUAACUCCUGACCUCAGGUGAUCCGCCCACUUCAGCCUCCCAAAGUGCUGGGAUUACAGGCGUGAGCCACCGUGCUGUGUUAAUGAUUUGUUAAUAGCCAAGUGCAACAAUUUCAACAGCCUAACUACUACAUUUCUUUACUACUUGUUAAAUUCAUUCUCCACAAUUACUACUAUGAAAAUAGAACUUCUCUGAUGUAUUAUUUUCUUGAAAUUUUAUUCCCUUGGUAAUUGUUACUAUUUUGCCUGAGGACCAUUACUCUUCCCUCUCCCUCUCUCUAAUUUUUCUAUCUCUUCAUAUCCUCUCCCUAGCGUAUCUCAUUUACUUCCAUUAUUUCAGCUACAACUAAUAUAGACAUUUUUGGGAAUCAUCAGCUUUUAUCUUCAUCUCAGACCUAGUCUUCAAGUUUUAGUAAUAUAUCCAACUGCCUAUUGAACUUCUUACUGGAGAUUACAUAAGAAUCUCAAACUCAACAUGUCCAAUUGAAUACAUCUCCAUACCUCCUCCCAUCUAAAAAACAAAAAACCUUAAAACUUAAAAAAAACCUUUGAUUUUUCUCUCUCAGUUGACAGCACUAUCAUCCCCUAACCUCUUAUCCAUGCUUCAUUUUUCCUCCAAACACCAAUUAAUCACUAAAUUAUCCACUAAACCCUAAAUAUUUUAUCUCCUAAAUAUCUAAAUGUUCUAUUCCUUCUAUUAUCUCCCUAGUUUAGGUCCUAAAAAUCUCACACUCAUAUCCUAACUAGAGUAGCCCUCCCUUACUUGAGGCUUCACUUCCCACUGUCCAAAAAUAUUAAAUGGAAAAUUCCAGAAAUAAACAAUUCAUAACUUUUUCUUUUUUUUUUGAGACAGAGUUUCCCUCUUGUCGCCCAGGCUGGAGUGCAAUGGCGCAAUCUUGGCUCACUGCAACCUCCACCUCCCGGGUUCAAGUGAUUCUCCUGCCUCAACCUCCCAAGUAGCUGGGAUUACAGGCAUGCACCACCACACCCGGCUAGUUUUUUUUUUGUAUUUUUAGUAGAGACAGGGUUUCACCAUGUUGACUAGGCUGGUCUCCAACUUCUGACCUCAGGUUAUCCACUAACCUCGGCCUCCCAAAGUGUUGGGAUUACAAGCGUGAGCCACCACGCCUAGCCAACAAUUCACGACUUUUAAAUUGUGUGCCAUUCUGACUAGUGUGAUGAAAUCUCGAAUGGGACAUGUCAUCCCUUUGUUCAGCAUAUUCACACUGUUAAUGCCACCCACCCAUCUCGUCCUUUAGUCACUUAGUCUAAUGGGUUAUGGGAUGGAAAAAGCAAAGUAUGCAUAGGGUUCAGUAGUGUCUGUAGCUUCAGGUAUCCACGGGAGGUCUUGCAAACCUCAAAGUAAACAGAACCAAAAGAUAAAAAUACGGACCAGGAGUGGUGGCUCACACCUGUAAUUCCAGCACUUUGGGAGGCCGAGGCUGGCGGAUCGCCUGAGGUCGGGAGUUGGAGACCAGCCUGACCAACAUGGAGAAACCCCACCUCUACUAAAAAUACAAAAUUAGCUGGGCAUGGUGGCGCCUUCCUGUAAUCCCAGCUACUCGGGAGGCUGAGGCAGGAGAAUCCCUUGAACUCAGGAGGCAAAUGUUGUGGUGAGCCGAGAUCGCGCCAUUGCACUCCAGCUGGGCAACAAGAGUGAAACUCUGUCUCAAAAAAAAAAUGAAAAGCAGGAGAAAAAAAUAACCAUUAUCCCCUAAGAAGAAGAGUGGGGACUACUGGAAUCUCUACACUUCCCCCUGUAUGCCUUUAAUCUAUUUUUGGGCAAUUACUGCUAUGCAAAUCUAACCAAUUAACUUCUCUGUUUAAAACUCAACUCUUCAGUUACUCUCUACUUUCUACACAUAAGAACAGUCCGCCCUCCACAUCCUCAGGUUCCAUAUCCACAUGUUCUGCAUCCAUGGAUUCAACUAACUGCAGAUGAAAAUAUUGGGGGAAAAAACAAUAACAAAACACAAUAAUAAAAAACAACAUGAAUUUUAAAACACUACAGUAUAAAAACUAUUUACAUAGCACUUACAUUGUAUUAGGUAUUAUAAGUAAUUUAGUGAUGACUUAAACUAUACGUGAGGAGCCACACCUGUAAUCCCAGCGUUUUGGGAGGCAGAGGCAGAUGGAUCACUUGAGGUCAGGAGUUCGAGACCAGCCUGGCCAACGUGAUGAAACCCCAUCUCUACUAAAAAUACAAAAAUUAGUUGGGCAUGGUAGCAUGUGCCUGUAAUCCCAGCUACUCGGGAGGCUGAGGCAUGACAAUCGCUUGAACCCAGGAGGCAGAGGUAGCAGUGAGCUGAGAUUGUGCCACUGUACUCCAGCCUGGGCAACAGAGCAAGACUCAGCCUCAAAAAAAAAAAAAAAUUAAAUUAAAAAAUAAACUAUACAGGAGGAUGUACUACUGUAGGUUAUAUGAAAAUACACCAUUUUAUUUAAGAGACUUGUGCAUUUGUGAAUUUUGGUACCCUGGGGUGGGGGCUGUCUGGAACCAAUCUCCUGUGUAUACUGACGGAUGACUGUGUGUGAGAGGGGCAAUAUGGAGAGUUCAAAGAACAUUUUAAUAUGACAAUGAUAUCUAGUAACUCUUUAGCAUGUUAAAGAGAUAAAUCUGUUGCAUUUCCCGAUUUACCUUAAUCCACAAUAAUCUACCAGUCCAUGGAAGGAGAUGAUCCACAUAAAGAUAGAUAUAUCAGGUUAUGUAGCUCAAAACUCUUAGCCAUGAAAAUGAUCUUAUCCCAAGAAAUCUGUUAAUCUCUAUCUAGUAACAGAGAAUGUGCACAUUAAUCAUUUGAUUCACUAAUUAAUUUCAUCUCUCACUGUUUGGUUUAUACAUUAGUGUGUGUUUGGUUAACUAGACCAUCUACCACGUAUCUACUGACAAAAAUAAUAUUGUCUCUGAGAAGCUGAACCUCAGCUGCACAAAAGGUAUCUGCAGGAAUGACUGUGGUUUUUCUUAACUAACCUGAGUAUGAUGAUUACAACAAGCAAAUUUCCAAACACUCUUAAAUUCAAACUGUUAAAAUUCUUAAGAAUUCUUACAUUCCUGAGAAAAUUAUUUGCUUGUUAUGACUAACAGCUUAUCUGAGGACUCUUCUAAAAAAUCAUUCCAACAUAUUCAUUUAGCAUAAUGUAUUUAAUAUGGUAAUUUGGCAAAGCCAAGAUUCAAGUCACAACACUAAAAAGUAAAUUAUUUAUGAAACCCCACCUGAAAAAUCUAAAUUAAUGUAAGUGAAGGUGGAGAUAUUAUAUGAUCAAUUAAGUUGGCCACAAAACCACAGCUUACUGAUGCUUUUCCUCUUAUGUAAAAAUCACAAAUAACCAAUCUUUUAAAAACUACAUAUAGACCAGGAACGGCGGCUCAUGCCUGUAAUCCCAGCACUUUAAGAGGCCAAGGCAGGUGGAUCACCUGAGGUCAGGAGUUUGAGACCAGCCUGUCCAACACGGUGAAACUCUGUCUCUAUUAAAAAUACAAAAAAAAAAAAAAAAUUAGCCGGGUGUGGUUGUGGGUGCCUGUAAUCCCAGCUACUCUGGAGGCUGAGGCAGGAGAAUCGCUUGAACACAGGAGGUGGAGGUUUCAGUGAGCCAAGAUCCCAAGAUCACGCCACUGCACUCCAGCCUGGGCGACAGAGCAAGACCCCAUCAAAAACAACAACAAUAAAAAAAAAACUACAUAUAAAAUUAAGCCUGCUACCUGUCAAAGGCAUAAUCAUCUUCCAAAUAAAAUAUUAAGAGCUUCUGACAAUGUUUCUUCAAACUGAAAAGCUCCCCUGUUAAGAUUUGAGAAAUUAAGUUGACAAAGCAAAAAGCUCCUAAAAUCCAACUAAGUUUAAUAUAUUCCAUUUGUAAUAGGUGACAAUUUAUAGCCUUCUAAAUGAAUAUUUAAGUAUUCUGUUAUAUUUUAUAUAACACUUAACAUUUUUCAAAGUACAUUCACAUAGUAUUUCAGUGGAUCUUCAACAAUCCUAAAUCAGUAAGACAUAUUGCUAAUAAAUGAGCAUUAUAGAUUAAGUUCCUUACUCAAAGCUCAGAAAAUUGGGUAAUCUAGAACUCAAGGGUUCUGCCUUGGUGCUCCUUUUCAUUGUAUAGUAUUCUAUUACACCAUAGUGAACUUUCCAAAGACUAAUGGAUUAGACAAAAUAUAUAAACAAUUUCAAUAUGAUAAAUAAAUACUAUAAGAAUUAUAUAUGAGAUCCACCAAAAGAAAAUAUGCUUUCUAGAUACAUGCAAAGAUGAGACAAGGAUCUUAGCAGAUUCUGAAAAUAAGCAGUUCAGAAAGAUUGGCAUUUGGGUGAUGGGUCACAAAAUUAAAAUGUUAGGCAAAGGCCAGGUAGAGCUAAGGAAUUUAAAAGCACCAGUAACAUAAAGAUCAAUACCUGCUUUCCUCCUCCUCCAAGAACAGUAGUUAAGUUUUGCUAUAUGAUUUUUCAAGCAUAAAUAUAAACAAACAAAAUCUUCACAGAUUCCCUCAAAAGGACAACCUAAAAAAGAUGCUGCAUCAUCACAGUUAAUAUUUAUGUGGCAGGCCCUAUCCUACAUGUUUUAUAUAUGUUCAUUCAUUUAAUCAGCACAACUCUAUAAAAUGGGUACUCUUUUUUACACCCAUUUUACAGACAGGAAACUGUAGCACAAAACUUGCUCAAGGUGACACAAUUAUGUAGCUGAGCCUUGAUUUGAGCCCAGGCAAUCUAGUUCUUAACUACUAUGUUACAAGGCAGAAAAAUGGCCUCUUCAAACAUAAACUGAGGUCAUGCUAAGUCUCACCUAUUCCUGCAGACCAGGUUUUAAAACAAAACAAAACGGCUGAGCAUGGUGGCUCAAGCCUGUAAUCCCAGGACUUUGGGAGGCCAAGGCGUGAGCCACCGCACCCGGCUCCAUCAAUGUUUUCUUAAAGGAAAUUAUGCUAUCUUUUUUGAAAAACCAGAUCCCUUUCUAGAAAAGCAAUGUAAACUCUGCAGAUAGAGCCCAACAGUAAUAUUUUCUGACCAAGACAACCAAAUAUUAAAAUUAAGGUGCACUACUUGUCUAAUAAAACCAGUUAAAGAAAUCUGCAUCUUAAACAUCUCGGUAAUUACUGAAGGUCCUGUGGUAUCAAAAUAUUACCUAGGCAUUAUUUACUAAGAAUUGAUGCUUGUAAUUAGCUGGGUGUGGUGGGGUGCGCCUGUACUCCCAGCUACUUGGGAGGCUGAGGCAGGAGAAUCGCUUGAACCCAGGAGGCGGAGGUUGCAGUGAGCUCAGAUUGCGCCACUGCACUCUAGCCUGGAGA